rnacentral:lncRNA from 1 species
GAAAAAAAGACCAACCUUUGAUUACAGUACACUGGGAAGCUUAACUAUUCACUAUCAUCAUAGAAAUUAUUUUUGUUGUAAAUAUAAGAAGUAAUUUGGGAUUUUUGAAGAUUAUUUUUUAAAGAAGGUUAAAUUGUACAAAAUCUAUAGUGAGCUCCCUGAAAUUUUUUUUGGUUUUAUAUCACUCUGCUAAUAAUGCAAAUAUGCAAAUGUGUUUACAAGUAAACAGACGUUCCUCAUAUACUGAUGAACCUUAAAAUUAACAUCAUUUUUGAAUAAUUAAUGAACACACAUCAUUACUAAAACCAAAAUUACUAAACUCAAUUAUAAACACAGGAAUUUCCAGGAGGGUUGUUCUCAUUCUUCCGCUAGAAGAAAUAAUUCUGCCUUCGACCAGCAGAAAACACUCACCCAGUGUCCUUGUCCUUGGAGGGUGUGCAUUAUCUAAUGGGUUCAGCCUGAAGGAGCUGUGUUAAUGGGCCAUUUGCUUCGAUGAUAAAAGUAGAAAAUAAGUCUCGUGGGACUUCUCUCUCUAUCCCAAUGUUAUAUCCAUAAGUUUUGGAAAUAAUCCAAAGGCCAGGAUUUAAGUUUGUGAGAUUAUUUCCAAAACUUUU